rnacentral:sRNA from 20 species
AUAUGUGGGCGACCUUCCUCCUCCCGGGUUCUUCGCUCACGAGAUCAGCGCCACUCCUCCUCCCGGGCUGCUGAUCGGUUCUUUCGGAAAGCCUGCCGCACCUCCUCCCGCGGCGGGCUUUUUCG